rnacentral:lncRNA from 1 species
UCUCCACCAUUACUAAAAAAAGGCGAAUGGUCAAUCUGCACAUACAUUCAAGUCAUCAUACUGUGAAUUAAUCAAACAUAUUAUCACAUGCUUUCAUAUUUCAAGUAAAAUAACAAUCAAUCUCAUGCAUCAAGAUCAUUCAAAUUAAAUUAUCUAGAAAAGUCACUUAGAGUGUAAGAGAAAAUACUCAAGAGAUUCCUAACUAAAAACCUUGAGAGUAACUUAACUUUUAGAGGAGAAGGGGAAAGGUACUUGUGUCUAAAACUCCCUUGAAGACUUUUACUUUCUUUCUUCCUCUCUUUCUCUCUACUCUAAAAGGUGGAAAAAGGGAGAAGAAAUGAAAGUGUGGGAGAAGUAAGGAGAAAAGGGCUCCUUAAAUAGGCUUGAGAGGCGUCUGGAUGCUUGCCACACGGCAACCAUCCAC